UCAGUGUGGGUUUUUUUUCGAGUCUUGUUAGUUUACCAGUUUUUGGACGCAAUAUGAAGUUUACACUAUCUGUGGCUGUGAUUUCGUCGCUGGUGCUCUUGGCCCAGACGGACGAGAAGAAAGGAGUGGAGAAGCGGCACUUGGGCCUGGGCGCGGUAGGGUGGCCGUCAACCCCGACGUGGCCCUCGCCGUCCUGGGCGUCCCCAUCAGGUUGGCCGUCGGCGGCCUCUUCAGGAUGGCCGUCGGCGGCCUCUUCAGGGUGGCCCUCGGCCUCGACCGGUGUCGUGGACCUCACCUCGGCCACCGCCGGCCUCACUCCUUCCUGGCCUGAGGUCGGCUGGCCCUCCGCCUACAACCAGCCCGAACUCGCCUACUCCAAGGCGGUGGCUCACACAUCGGCCCUGAACGGAGUAGCAGCAAUCAACGCAGCCGAGGUGGCAGCCGCCCUGACGGCAGCGAAAGAGGCCUCGACAGCAGCCGCCCUGGCCCAGCAACGCGUGCAGGCGGCCAAGGAGGCCGUCCUCGUGCAACAGCGGAUCGCGGCCGCGAAGGAAGCGGCAGCAGCGGCGGCCAUCCAGCGCUCGGAGGCGGCCGCUGCCACGGCGGCAGCCAUCCAACGCUCCGAGGCGGCAGCCGCGGCCAUCCAACGCACCGAAGCCGCCGCCCAGGCCGCCGCCGCCCUCCAACGCUCCGAGGCCGCCGCCGCAACCGCCGCCGCCAUCCAACGAUCCAGGCCGCCUCCGCCGCCAUCCACAAACAGGCGCAGCUCGCCGUCCACCCCUCCGGCCACUGGCAACCCUCCUCCAAGCCCUGGAACGCUUGGGGAUAAGCACACCGAGGAGUCAGCCACACAACGUGGGUCGCCACCAGCAGCAUCCUAAAUACCACAACCGCCUCAUUCUUCAAAUUCAUCGACAAAUCCACAGCCAUAGAAGACAUGGGGGAUGUAGAGCCAUCCUCUUUCUUGAAACGGGUACGCUUCUGCCUCCUAUACUGCCGUGCUAAGGAAAAACGCCGUAUGAAACUUCAGGCGUUGCCUAAUUUCUUUUGAUAAAACACAAAUUUCCUGAUAAACUUACGAAUAUUUUCCUUCUAAUAUUUCAGAUAAUUUUGAUCGCAAUUUCAUUUAAAGUUCCUGAAAUUUUCAAGGAAAAAUAUUCAUAACUUGCCUCAAAAAUAAACAUUUUAUCGAAGGAAAUUUGGCAAAUCUCGAAUGUUCAUUCGGCGUUCUUCCUUAGCACGGCAGUAUAGACUAAGGGAGAAAUUGAUCGACUAAAUAAAGGGUCUCUCCUGGGUUGCCAUUAGAUAGCCUACUAAGUACCAGCCACCUUAGUUCAUUGAAACCACCCGCUUUCACCAGUUGGAUCUCGCGGAAAGUCCAUUUGGCAAUAAAUUUUACAAAUCAGGUCUCAUUGGAUGUUUUAAUUUUUAUGCGAACCAGGGCCGGAUUUACCUAGGUACUUGCCGCCUGUUUUUUGCCGCCCCCUUCUCAUUCGUUUUGAAACAUCAAUAAAAACAAUCAAGUGAACGUGCCGGAAGGGGAGGGGUGCAUAAGACGCGUUUACCUACUCGUGUUGAGUACAUUUUUUGCGAAAGUCCUGUCAACACUACUGGCAAAAUUUCACGGAACUUAGCGCGAAAGUUAAGUUCCGUAAACAUAUCUCUGUGUGAACAAGGUCCUCCAUUUAUAAGAAAUGAACCAAAAAUUGAAAGAACAAACAUAAAUGUGGUUUAAUAAUUUUAACUUCCGCCGCUGCGCCGGGCUGAUCGCACCACAGUGCGAAAUGGCGCAAUAUUUACCUUUAAUAUACAUUUGGCGCAAUGCGUGAAGUAUUCCAGCAGUCUUGUAGGCGCUACGGCGCUACGCGUUUCACGCCAACUGCUCCUGACCGGCCGGCGGCGCACUGUGUUUAACGCAAUGGGUGAAGUAUUCAUGCAGUCUUGUAGGCGCUAAUAUGUGUUUAUUGUGGCUCUAAUUGUGUGCGACUGCAGUGCCGAGGGCUUGUCCUUUUCAUCUCAAGUCCUCGUCGUCAUUCCUCUUUGCGCUGAGCUCCAGGCCAAAUUGCGUGUUUAGUUCCUCUCUUAACUCGACUAAUUAAAGAUGCUGUCUCUUUUAUCACCGAAAAACGAUAAAAUUAGAAAUUACUAUACUCUCAGGAAAGAGAGAUUUUGUCCCCUUUUCUCAUUGAUAAUUUUUUUUUCUAAAUCCAAUUUUUUAAUACCUACAUUUAAAAAAAUUGCAAAAUUUGCCGCCCCCUAAAGCCGCGGCCCAUGUGGCAGCCCCCUUAAUCCGGCCCUGAUGCGAACCAUUCUAAAAUGAUCAGUGACGCUGCUCAUAGAAUCGUAUCCAGAUGAUAGCACCUUAUGGAUUGGCUAAGAAAAUGAAAGAUAAAAAUCUGUCAAGACGCAAAAGUCUACCUACGUCCAAUAUGAAUGGAGACGGAUGUACAUAAAAAAACACGGGGUAUGACAUCAUCCGCCGCGGCAGUGCACACAUUGGUUUUUCAUUUUAGUUUUAUCGAUCAAUUAUACUCUUAUUUGCGCUGGUCGUUCAAGGUAAAACAUGGAUAAAACUUAAGUGGAAGAAUCCAUGCACUAACGCGGCGGAUGACGUCAUCAGCCAGCGAAAAGCGAUAGCGAGUGAUAUCUCCGUUGUUAUUGGUCAUAGAAAUUAGGUUUUUGGACGAACCGUAUGCACCUAUUGUUGCUAAUCUAUAUAAGCUUACAAAUCAGACGAUGAACACAUGAUUCUAAGACUAGUGUAACUGACCCACUAUUGCUGUUGUAUCGGUGUGUUGUGUAUGUUGCCUAUUCGGUAAUUGAAGGUGUUCCUCUCGCUCUGGUUGUUCACUCUAUAUUUCUCAUUUAGACGGCGUUAUGCCGCACAUAGAGUAAUUACCAGAGGCAUCGCCCGUAGCUCGUGGCUACACUGCGCUGUUUGUAUAAAUAUUGUUUUUUGAUGAUCAAUACACGCUCACUUAUAACUGAAGCUUGUGUUUGUCUAAUUCUUACCUAUCGAUUUUACUCAGUUUUUUCAUGAGCCUGAUUUUUUUUCUUUUUUUUUUAAAAUCAGGCAACUUGCGGGUGACCUAAUGAAGCUGAUUUUAUUUCAUGUUCCUUGAAUUAAGCACACGUGGAAAGCUGAUAUCUUGAAUAAAAUGACUCAAA
rnacentral:lncRNA from 1 species